rnacentral:rRNA from 1 species
AUUGAACGCUGGCGGCAGGUCUAACACAUGCAAGUCGAAGCGGGGACGGGUGAGUAACACGUGGAUAACCUCCUAUAAGACUGGGAUAACUUCGGGAAACCGGAGCUAAACCUGAUACUUAUAGAUGGAUCCGCGCUGCAUUGGCUGGUUGGUAAGGUAACGGCUUACCAGGGCAACGAUGCAUAGCCGACCUGAGAGGGUGAUCGGCGACACGGGGACUGAGGCACGGGCCAGACGCCUACGGGAGGCAGGAGUAGGGGAUCUUCCGCAAGGGGCGAAAGCCUGACGGAGCGACGCGGCGUGAGUGGUGAAGGUCUUCGGAUCGUGAGACUCUGUUAGUAGGGAAGCGGUACCUAAGCAGAAAGCCGGGGCUAACUACGUGCCAGCAGCCGCGGUAAUAC